CGCUCAGUUGAAAUGGCGCAUAAUUUUCACCUCAGUUAUAAUAUAGUGUAUUGAAAAAAAGUGAUUAAAAAGGCAAUUUAAUAAAAAAUAUAUAAUAUUAAACAUGGAAAUAAUUCGAGAAAAUUAAUUUAGCUUAUUUAAUUCGUCGAGUGUGUGCAGAUCGUUCGUUCGUUUUUUCGUUGUUCGUAUACGUCGCUCAUGCAGCAACAAGUAUUGCAAUGUAAACUUUUAUCAAUGCAAGAGAGUAAACAGCAUUCGUCGGAUUAGGCUGAAAUAUUAACAACAAAUCGUGCGGCUUACUGAAAAUAAGUGUCACAACCAGGAUGCAAUUUCAAAUAAUUAUUUAAUUCAUAAGAUCCAGUUCAGCGAUAGAGUGGUCACCGCAAAACGUCUUUAUUGAAAGGAGCUCCCGAAGAUCAGCUUUAGUGCAUUUCCAAAUAUAUUUUUUGUAUAUUAAGUCUUAAAAUACAGCUAAAAGAUACCAUAAUAUAUGCACAAAUUUUUGAAUCAAUAAAUUUAAAAGUUUUCUCAGAAAAAAAUUUGGAAAAUUUGUAUAUAACCCCUUAAGCUCGCUACUCUCGAUUCGAAGUGUGAGCGGUUCAUAGAAAAAUUUGAUAAAAAAAUAAAUUAGAUUGAAAGAGUAUUAUUGAAAUCUCUCAGAAUGAUUUUAAAGAAAAAAAUAUUAUUUUAAACAAGAUUUUAGACACAAAUUAUAGGAUUUUUGUUUUAACAUUAAUAACUAUUCUAAAAUUAGGUAAAAUUAGCAAAUUCAUUAAUCAAAUUCUUUACAUUUGAUUUGUGGAUUUUUUACGUAAACAUUCUUAAAUUAAACACUGUUUUAAUAUAAUAAAACAUAUAAUAAAUAAUUUUUAUAAAUUCUGAAUAUUUUUUGUGACGGGCAAGAUAAAAAUAUUUUAGUAAUAAAAAUUUAAUUUGACAUACAUAUAUUAUUUUCUCAAUUUAUACUACUAAACAUCCAAAUUACCUGAGACUAAACUACUGGAAAGUCUUGCCACCCAAAUCUUAAAUUUCGCGAAUGUUAAAGAUAUUAAAAUCUUCUGGGUUAUAAUGAUUUAGCAACUCUUCUUAAUGAAUUUAAAAAAUAAAGAAAAAACUAGUACCAUCAAAGCUUUUUUUAGGCACAAAAUUCAAAAUUCGUCAGCUGGCAUUUGUAACUCUUAUAAAGUCCGAAACUUAGUGAAUAAUUGAAUUUUAUAUGCACUCUUCUGUUAAAAGCGUGACCGGAAACGAAAACACUCAACAUUUAAGUAAAUCACAGUUGGAAACUUCGCAAAUAAAAAACGAAAUGGAAAUUAGUAUGCAAAUUAUCAAAUUAAUAUUGUGUUCUACGAAAUCUUAUCUAUAUAACCAUCGUCUACAGCCAUUUCUCAGAAAAUCUUUCACUUUGAACUUUUCCACUUAACUUAAUAGACAAUAAAACUAAAAGCAGAACAAAAAUUAUGCUCUCUUUCAAACUAAACCAAACCCAACAGUUUAUAUGUGUUAAACACUGCUAGAGUGGAAAGUUCGAAAAUCAGCAAAGGCAAUCCUAGGCUUAGCGCAGCCGAGCUGAUGUAUUUAAAGGCGAUGCGUGCGCGUUAAAGUAAAGGCCGCCUGUGCAAAGAGUUAUGCGCAAAUAACACGCGCGUGCCCACACAACACACACGCGCGCACAAGCGUACAUGCAUUACAACAUAGCUGUAAUAUAGUGAGCUGUGCCGUCACCUUGGCGUAUACGUAACAUUUGCUUUGCACAGUGUAUACAAUGUAUGGCACAUUGUUACGUAUACGACAUGGUGACCCAAAAUUAAAUCCAUGGUGCCAGUAAAGUGUUGUUGCUGCUGCAGCACAGCACCUAUUUGGGUGUGUACACAUAUAUAAUGGGCUUUUAAACUAUAUAAAGAUAUAUAUAUGUGUGUGUGUAUGUGUGUGGGUGAGUGUUAUCGCAUAACAUGAGCAUUAGGAGCGUGCGUGAAAAAAGGUUGCCAUUUCACGAAAAUGAAUUUUAGGCACGCACAGCUCGCCAUUACACUAUUACAACUAAAAUACUAUGCGGAAUGUAUAUUUUUAUAAGCUUACAAAAUUAAUGGAAAACACAGUGCUUGCCGCUGGCCUAUCAUCAUCUACUCUCCGCUUCUCGGUGAAGUUAUGUAACGUGAAAGGCAUGCGUUUAUGCUAAGUCCGCAUACAGCAAAUUACGGUACAAAAGGGUGGUGAGAUUUAUUUCUUAUAAGCAGCAAGCAGCAUUAAGCCACAAGAAAGCAAUGGCAGCGAGAGAAAUGAAAAAUGGAUGAGACAUAUUUGCAAACAUACAUAUGUAUAUUUAUUCACAUAUUGGUAAUGUAAGCUUUGGUAACUGAACUUUGUUGUUAUGUACUCGCAUAGCAGUUUAGAUAUUUAUUACGCAGAUAAUUGAGGGCGUGUGAUACUUACACUAUUUCUGCUUCGACUACCUCACUCACUCGUCUUGUUAGUGCGCACAAUAUAAUAUUUAAUGGGCGUGUGCUUUGUGUUCCGGUAUACACUAUACAUAACAUUAGCAACGCCAGUAGUUCAGUGAACUGUCGACCACUUAGUUAAGUACUUCAUAUAGUACACUUGAUGUGCAGUGUUAAGGUCAUCAAAGUGUUGUAUUGUCUGUGUUUAUAUUUUCUUGAUAAAUAUUGACGCGUGCACUCGAUUAUUGAUUAACACAGGUGUCAUUUGUAGCAAGCACAUAUGUUAGUGUCAAUAAAUAAAUAAAUAAUAAUGCAAUUGUAACUAAAGCCAAACAAGU